AGCGAACGCUGGCGGCAGGCUUAACACAUGCAAGUCGAACGGUCGUAGCAAUACGGCAGUGGCAGACGGGUGAGUAACACGUGGGAAUGUACCUUUCGGUUCGGAAUAACUCGGGGAAACCCGUGCUAAUACCGGAUACGCCCUUACGGGGAAAGAUUUAUCGCCGAGAGAUCAGCCCGCGUCCGAUUAGCUAGUUGGUGAGGUAAUGGCCCACCAAGGCGACGAUCGGUAGCUGGUCUGAGAGGAUGAUCAGCCACACUGGGACUGAGACACGGCCCAGACUCCUACGGGAGGCAGCAGUGGGGAAUAUUGGACAAUGGGCGCAAGCCUGAUCCAGCCAUGCCGCGUGAGUGAUGAAGGCCCUAGGGUUGUAAAG
rnacentral:rRNA from 1 species